rnacentral:rRNA from 1 species
UACGAGGGGGGCGAGCGUUGUUCGGAAUUAUUGGGCGUAGAGGGUGCGUAGGCGGUUUUGUAAGUCUUAUGUGAAAUCUACAGGCUCAACUUGUAGUCUGCAUGAGAAACUGCAGGGCUUGAGUAUGGGAGAGGUGAGUGGAAUUCCUGGUGUAGCGGUGAAAUGCGUAGAUAUCAGGAGGAACACCUGUGGCGAAAGCGGCUCACUGGACCAUAACUGACGCUGAUGCACGAAAGCUAGGGGAGCAAACAGG